GACGAACGCUGGCGGCGUGCUUAACACAUGCAAGUCGAACGGAAAGGCCCUGCUUUUGUGGGGUGCUCGAGUGGCGAACGGGUGAGUAACACGUGAGUAACCUGCCCUUGACUUUGGGAUAACUUCAGGAAACUGGGGCUAAUACCGGAUAGGAGCUCCUGCUGCGUGGUGGGAGUUGGAAAGUUUCGGCGGUUGGGGAUGGACUCGCGGCUUAUCAGCUUGUUGGUGGGGUAGUGGCUUACCAAGGCUUUGACGGGUAGCCGGCCUGAGAGGGUGACCGGCCACAUUGGGACUGAGAUACGGCCCAGACUCCUACGGGAGGCAGCAGUGGGGAAUAUUGCACAAUGGGCGGAAGCCUGAUGCAGCAACGCCGCGUGCGGGAUGACGGCCUUCGGGUUGUAAACCGCUUUCGCCUGUGACGAAGCGUGAGUGACGGUAAUGGGUAAAGAAGCACCGGCUAACUACGUG
rnacentral:rRNA from 1 species